AGAGUCUGCAUCCAGCCUUUUGUCUUCGGUGAAGAUUAGCAAGUCUCCCUUCUUGAAGGACAGGAUGGCAGGGUCUUCUGGGAAACAGAAUAAGGGAGUACUGUUCAGGCUUGACAGUCAAAGAAAAUGCAAAGUGAUUGCAACGUGAAAGACAAGGGAAUUGUAUUUUGAAGGCCUGACUUCAAUUAGUAAUAGUAAGUGAUUUGUGUAAAUACAGCUAAUUAUCUAGUAAGACUUCAGAGAAAUCACAUUUCCUCUGACAGCCCGAUUUUGGUGCACUGAGGGCAAUGGCAAAACUCUAUUUGAUUUAAAUGAAUGCUGACCUUGUGUGUAGAACUGGUAGCAAAUCAUAUAAAGAAACUCAGUAGCUGUAAGUAGGUGAAGUUAAUGUUUACAUUUUAAUCCCCUUUUGUCUGUUCCAGCCAACUGUAUUCCACAGAAAAUUCCAGUUUACCAUCUCUCUGAAGUUCUUCUGGAAACUAUUUCCAGGGAGCCUAGAUCCAGUUUCCUACUAUAAGCAGGCUGAGUUGUUGGACACUGUACUAUCUAAAUAAAAUACUCAAAGAAGUAGAAGGAGGAAGGAAAGUCCUUCCAGGAACAUGACCACCAGUUCAGCAAUGACAACGCUGUUUACAGAUGUCAGGACAAACUCCUCGGCACGAAGUGUAAUGAGAGUACAACUCUGUCCAAAUGUCUUCACUGCCCUAUGUAGUAUUGAACAGUUUGUUACCAGAGCAUCUGAAAGAGUUACAGACACACCUGCAAUUACAGCCAAGGCACCUACACCUCUUUGCAGACAACUCCCUUACAAAGGAUGAAUAAGGAGACCCACCUUCUCACAGCGAUACUCUCCAAACCGGAUGCCUCGAAUGACUUGGUGGUAAAUGAGAUCAGUGCUGAUAGGAUCCUCCUGGGAGUUGUGCCAGGGGGUGAA